rnacentral:lncRNA from 1 species
AUAAAUGAAUCAGCAUUAAUUUUAUGUUACUUUUUAGAUAGGGUAAGAUAACUUGUGGUGGUUGGCCCAGAUCUUUUUAAAAAGAAAUCCAAGAUAUCAGCAAAUAUGUCUUUACUUUCUGCUUAUAAAUAUCCAUAUAUAGUCAUUGAAAAUCUCUCCACAGAGCAGAAGAGAGAAUUUAGUGAAUGAUUUUCAAGAUGAUUGUAAGAAAAAAAUAUUACAAUGACCAUAUUUCCAGGUGAGAAAGCAAAUGAAAUUGAUGAAGAUAGAAUAUUUGAUUGGAACAGUGCGGAAAAUGUUGGGUUAUGAAUGGUAUUGCUGGAGGUCAGUGAAAAUUAUAAUUUGAAUUUAGUCUUGUUUAUUUUUAUUAGCCAUGGUAUCGUAUCUACCUCUAUAACAUUCAGUUAAAUCUGUAGUUAACUAAAAGUUCAUUUUAGACAAAAGUUUAAUAAAAGUUUAUUUUAGUUUCUUUUAAGAAAAUAUUGAUGGACCAUUGUUAAGUAAUUUGAGUGGAUAAUGUAUUAUAAUUACCUUUAAUAGGAUAUGAAUCAUGCAAAUAAUGAAUCAGAUCAUUAUUGCCUUCAAUUCUUUCAAGAAAGCAAAUUAUCUUUUUUCUUUUUGUUUUUCUUUUUUUGUCUUGUGUCUUUUUAGGGCCACACCUGUGUCAUAUGGAGGUUCCCAGGCUAGGGGUCUAAUUGGAGCUACUGCUGCCGGCCUAUACCAGAGCCACAGCAAUGCCAGAUCCAAGCCACGUCUGCGACCUACAGCACAGCUCACAGUAAUGCCAGAUCCUUAACCCACUGAGUUAGGCCAGGGAUUGAACCUGCAACCUCAUGGUUCCUAGUCAGAUUCAUUUCUGCUGCGCCAAGAUGGGAACUCCGCAAACUAUCUCAAAAUUUAUUAAGCAACAUCCAAAACUACUGUGACUUCUCUGGCAGUUUUCAGGGGCCUGCCUCCCAGAUUUUGUACAUCUAAUUGGUGUUGUACAGAGGUCAUUUUUAUGAGAAUGUAUGAUUCCAAAAAUGAGUCUCAAAAGAGAAUUCUUAUAUUUCAGAGAAAUCAAUAUGUAUUGUUUAUAAAUAAGUGAUAUAGCUAUUAAAAGAUGUUGACUGGAAUUACGCCUAUAUGUAGAUUGCAUUUAAAUGCUUUACCUGGUCAUAUGACAUAGCAUAUGUAAACCUUUUUUUCCUCUCUAAAAGUACAUAAACUCCUAAGCACAUAAUUUGUCGCUUUAACCAAUAUCUGGAGAUAAACUAUUGCUGGAAUAGCAUGAGCCACAUGAUUGGGUAGAACUACACCUUUCACCCUUACUUUUAGUUCACACUGUUAAGAAAUUUCCAGUAAAUAACUUUUGUCAACCCAUUUAGUAUGGAGCCUUUGCAUUUUGAACAUUGUCCAUUUUGUUAAGGAAUAUUAUGGCAACUAUUUUUUUUAAAAAAUACUUCAGUAAAUAAACUGUAAAGUUGAAAUUGGAAUUAUUUGUAUUUAAUGUUUUCAUGUGUCAAAAAGUUUUAAGGACAUAACUCAUGGUAUCUCUCUAGUAAAUCAAGAGUCAGUGUAUUUUUAAAGCACUUAACUUUUCACAGAAUGACUUUUACUUUUUCCAGAAUAGGUCAAAAUGGGAAAAAAAUGUGAUUAUUUUUAUCUAUUAUCCAGUAAACUGUAAAUAUUCUUUCUUAAACCAUGCCUAGUACAUCUUAACAAAGAAAGAAGAAAUGAAGAGAGAGAGGCAAAGAGGGCUCUUUUGGAAAUCUGCUUUUGCAUCACAUUAAGAAUUAACCUGACGAAGUUCCCAUCAGUCAUGGUGCAGUGGCAACUAAUCUACCAGGAAGCAUAAAGUCACUGGUUUAAUUCCUGACAUCACUCAGUGUGUUAAGGAUCUGGCAUUGCCCUGAGCUAUGGUGUAGGUUGCAGAAGCAGCUCAGAUCUGGUGUUGCUGUGGUUGUGGUGUAGGCCGUGGCUAUAGCUCCGAUAGACCCCUAUAUGUCAUGGGUGUGGCCCUAAAAAGACAAAAAGACACAAAAAAAAUUAACCUGAGACUUCUCUGUUCAUUCUCUGAUGUCUAUACACAAAAUACAGAUAUUCAUUUGUAUCUGUAGGAUAAUAUGUCAUAAUAUAUCAUUCCAACAUAGAAACAGUUUGGAAUACUAAGCAUGUCUCCUCUCUCACUACCAUUAAUGAUAUCUGGGUCUACCACGCAGACCUCAUGGCAUGGCCUUUAUCAUGGCCAUCGUCUAUUAGCUGUGCCUGAAAUCUGGACCUUGCUAGGUCCCACUGCUAAAAAUAUGACAGCAAAAGGAACAGAAUUUAUCAUUCUGCAACAGUGACCAGUGUAGCACUGGGUACAGUUUUGCUUUUACUUACUAAGCUGUAAAGUUUUGGAUUACAUAUAGCACAUAUAUUCUGUGCUAUGUAAUAUCAGAACAGCUGAUAUGAGUAGUGAUUAUAAUAAGGAUCAUAAUAUCUACCACUUAGUGAAUGAGCACAAAUACCAGGCACUUGGCCAAGAUCUUUUAAAUUAUUAUCCGUUUAUUACAACAGCUUUGGAUGGUAAUAUUAUUCUGCCUAUUUUGAAGGAAGUAGAGGUUAAGUAACUUUGUAAGGAGUAUAUCUAGUAAUUCAACUCCAGAUCAUUAGUCACCAGAGUUAUUCCUCUUUCCAAAACUCCCACACUUAUGUUCAAAACCACUAUAGUCACUGAAGCAUUUUUGAGUAGUCACUACCAUAAAAGACAUUUGGAGUAGAGUACAUGUGAGUUCCCAGAUUUAUUUGGAGAACCACCAUUAAAGUUUUCCUGUGGAAGUCCUUCUCCUUUCUUUAUUAAAGUCAUUUUAUUUUUAACAUCAUUAUUCUAGGAGGUGGAUCAAAUAAGAUUUUGCUGUGAUUUAUGUCAGAGUGCAUUCUGCCCAUGUUUUCCUCUAGGAUUUUUAUAGUCUCUGGCGUUACAUUUAGGUCUUUAAUCCAUUUUGAGUUUAUUUUUGUGUGUAAAGUUAGAAAAUGUUCUAAUUUCAUUCUUUUACAUGUAGCUGUCUAGUUUUUCCAGCACUACUCAUUGACGAGACUAUCUUUCUUCCACUGUAUGUUACUGCCUCCUCUCUCAUAGAUUAGUUGCCCUUAGGGUCUUGGGUUUACUUCUGGGCUUUUUAUCCUGUUCCAUUGAUCUACGUUUUUGUUUUUAAUGCCAGUACCAUACUGUUUUGAUGACUGUAGCUUUGUAGUAUAGUCUAAAGUCCGAGAGCCUGAUUCUUCCAUUUCUAUUUUUCUUUUUCAAUGUUGCAUUGGCUAUUUGGGAUCUUUUGUGUUUCCAUACGUUUUAAAAUAUUUUGUCCUAUUUCUGUGAAGAAUGUCAUUGGUAAUUUGAUAGGGAUUGCACUGAAUCUGUAGGUUUCCUUGAGUAAAAAUAAACCAAUGGGACCUAAUUAAACUCAAAAGCUUUUGCACAGCAAAGGAGACCAUUAAAAAAUGAAAAGACAACCCAGAGAAUGAGAGAAAAUCUUUGCAAAUUAUGCAAUGACAUGGGCCUAUUCUCCAAAAUAUACAAACAGUUCAUAUAAUUCAACAACAAAAAAACAAACAACCCAAUCAAAAGAUGGACAUAAGACCUAAAGAGACAUUUCUCCAAAGAAGACAUAUGGAUGACCAACACGCACAUGAAAAAAUGCUCGGCAUCACUAAUUAUUAGACAAAUGCAAAUCAAAACUACAAUGAGGUACCACCUCACACUGCUCAGAAUGGCCAUCAUUAAUAAGUCAACAAAUUACAAAUGCUAGAGAGGAUGUGGAGAAAAGGGAACCCUCCUACACCAUUGGUGGGAAUAUAAAUUGAUACAACGACUAUGGAAAACAGUAUGGAGAUACCUCAGAAAACUAAAUAUAGAGCUACCAUAUGAUCCAGCAAUCCCACUCCUGAGCAUAUAUUCAGACAAAACUUUCAAACAAAAAGAUACCUGCACCCCUGUGUUCAUUGCAGCACUUUUAAAAAUAGCCAAGACAUAAAAACAACCUCAUUGGGUGUUCUCAUCUUUGCUCAGCAGAAAUGAAUCUGACUUGUAACCAUGAGGAUGCAGGGUCAAUCCCUGGCUUCACUCAGUGGGUUGAGGAUCUGGCAUUGCCGUGAGCUAUAGUGUAGGUCACAGACAUAGCUUGGAUCC